rnacentral:rRNA from 1 species
AGAGUUUGAUCCUGGCUCAGGACGAACGCUGGCGGCGUGCUUAACACAUGCAAGUCGAACGCUGAAGCACCUUCGGGUGUGGAUGAGUGGCGAACGGGUGAGUAACACGUGGGUAAUCUGCCCUGCACUCUGGGAUAAGCCUUGGAAACGGGGUCUAAUACCGGAUAUCACAACUUCAGGCAUCUGGGGUUGUUGAAAGUUCUGGCGGUGCAGGAUGAACCCGCGGCCUAUCAGCUUGUUGGUGGGGUAAUGGCCUACCAAGGCGACGACGGGUAGCCGGCCUGAGAGGGUGACCGGCCACACUGGGACUGAGACACGGCCCAGACUCCUACGGGAGGCAGCAGUGGGGAAUAUUGCACAAUGGGCGCAAGCCUGAUGCAGCGACGCCGCGUGAGGGAUGACGGCCUUCGGGUUGUAAACCUCUUUCGCCAGGGACGAAGCGCAAGUGACGGUACCUGGAUAAGAAGCACCGGCUAACUACGUGCCAGCAGCCGCGGUAAU